UACGUAGGGUGCAAGCGUUGUCCGGAAUUACUGGGCGUAAAGAGCACGUAGGCGGUUUGUCGCGUCGUCUGUGAAAACUCGAGGCUCAACCUCGAGCUUGCAGGCGAUACGGGCAGACUUGAGUACUGCAGGGGAGACUGGAAUUCCUGGUGUAGCGGUGAAAUGCGCAGAUAUCAGGAGGAACACCGGUGGCGAAGGCGGGUCUCUGGGCAGUAACUGACGCUGAGGAGCGAAAGCGUGGGUAGCGAACAGG
rnacentral:rRNA from 1 species